rnacentral:rRNA from 1 species
AGAGUUUGAUCAUGGCUCAGAGCGAACGCUGGCGGCAGGCUUAACACAUGCAAGUCGAGCGGGCGUAGCAAUACGUCAGCGGCAGACGGGUGAGUAACGCGUGGGAACAUACCUUUUGGUUCGGAACAACACAGGGAAACUUGUGCUAAUACCGGAUAAGCCCUUACGGGGAAAGAUUUAUCGCCGAAAGAUUGGCCCGCGUCUGAUUAGCUAGUUGGUAGGGUAAUGGCCUACCAAGGCGACGAUCAGUAGCUGGUCUGAGAGGAUGAUCAGCCACAUUGGGACUGAGACACGGCCCAAACUCCUACGGGAGGCAGCAGUGGGGAAUAUUGGACAAUGGGCGCAAGCCUGAUCCAGCCAUGCCGCGUGAGUGAUGAAGGCCCUAGGGUUGUAAAGCUCUUUUGUGCGGGAAGAUAAUGACGGUACCGCAAGAAUAAGCCCCGGCUAACUUCGUGCCAGCAGCCGCGGUAAUACGAAGGGGGCUAGCGUUGCUCGGAAUCACUGGGCGUAAAGGGUGCGUAGGCGGGUUUUUAAGUCAGGGGUGAAAUCCUGGAGCUCAACUCCAGAACUGCCUUUGAUACUGAAGAUCUUGAGUCCGGGAGAGGUGAGUGGAACUGCGAGUGUAGAGGUGAAAUUCGUAGAUAUUCGCAAGAACACCAGUGGCGAAGGCGGCUCACUGGCCCGGUACUGACGCUGAGGCACGAAAGCGUGGGGAGCAAACAGGAUUAGAUACCCUAGUAGUCC